GACGAACGCUGGCGGCGUGCCUAAUACAUGCAAGUCGAGCGAAUCAACAGGAGCUUGCUCCUGUUGAUUAGCGGCGGACGGGUGAGUAACACGUGGGCAACCUGCCUGUAAGACUGGGAUAACACCGGGAAACCGGUGCUAAUACCGGAUAAUCUUUUUCCUCUCAUGAGGAAAAACUGAAAGUCGGUUUCGGCUGACACUUACAGAUGGGCCCGCGGCGCAUUAGCUAGUUGGUGAGGUAAUGGCUCACCAAGGCGACGAUGCGUAGCCGACCUGAGAUGGUGAUCGGCCACACUGGGACUGAGACACGGCCCAGACUCCUACGGGAGGCAGCAGUAGGGAAUCUUCCACAAUGGACGAAAGUCUGAUGGAGCAACGCCGCGUGAGCGAUGAAGGCCUUCGGGUCGUAAAGCUCUGUUGUUAGGGAAGAACAAGUACCGGAGUAACUGCCGGUACCUUGACGGUACCUAACCAGAAAGCCACGGCUAACUACGUGCCAGCAGCCGCCGUAA
rnacentral:rRNA from 1 species